GGAUCCUUCGGGUGAAGGGGAGUGGUGGAGCCGCCGGCCCAAGCGGUUAGUAGGUGAGUGAUGGGGUGACGCAGGAAGGUAGUCCAGCCCGGGCGGUGGUUGUCCCGGGGUAAGGGUGUAGCCCGAGUGGUAGGCAAAUCCGCCACUCACCAGGGUGAGACCUGAUGCCGAGCCGAUUGCGGUGAAGUGGAUGAUCCUAUGCUGUCGAGAAAAGCCUCUAGCGAGUUUCAUGGCGGCCCGUACCCUAAACCGACUCAGGUGGUCAGGUAGAGAAUACCGAGGCGUUCGGGUGAACUAUGGUUAAGGAACUCGGCAAAAUGCCCCCGUAACUUCGGGAGAAGGGGGGCCACAUCCGGUGAUGAGCUUCGCGCUCUGAGCUGGGGGUGGCCGCAGAGACCAGCGAGAAGCGACUGUUUACUAAAAACACAGGUCCGUGCGAAGCCGUAAGGCGAUGUAUACGGACUGACGCCUGCCCGGUGCUGGAACGUUAAGGGGACCGGUUAGCUCACCUUCGGGUGGGCGAAGCUGAGAACUUAAGCGCCAGUAAACGGCGGUGGUAACUAUAACCAUCCUAAGGUAGCGAAAUUCCUUGUCGGGUAAGUUCCGACCUGCACGAAUGGCGUAACGACUUCUCGACUGUCUCAACCAUAGGCCCGGUGAAAUUGCACUACGAGUAAAGAUGCUCGUUUCGCGCAGCAGGACGGAAAGACCCCGGGACCUUUACUACAGUUUGAUAUUGGUGUUCGGUUCGGCUUGUGUAGGAUAGCUGGGAGACUGUGAAGCUCGGACGCCAGUUCGGGUGGAGUCGUCGUUGAAAUACCAGUCUGGUCGUGCUGGAUGUCUAACCUGGGUCCGUGAUCCGGAUCAGGGACAGUGUCUGAUGGGUAGUUUAACUGGGGCGGUUGCCUCCUAAAGGGUAACGGAGGCGCCCAAAGGUUCCCUCAGCCUGGUUGGCAAUCAGGUGUUGAGUGUAAGUGCACAAGGGAGCUUGACUGUGAGACCGACGGGUCGAGCAGGGACGAAAGUCGGGACUAGUGAUCCGGCGGUGGCUUGUGGAAGCGCCGUCGCUCAACGGAUAAAAGGUACCCCGGGGAUAACAGGCUGAUCUUCCCCAAGAGUCCAUAUCGACGGGAUGGUUUGGCACCUCGAUGUCGGCUCGUCGCAUCCUGGGGCUGGAGUCGGUCCCAAGGGUUGGGCUGUUCGCCCAUUAAAGCGGUACGCGAGCUGGGUUUAGAACGUCGUGAGACAGUUCGGUCCCUAUCCGCUGUGCGCGCAGGAGUCUUGAGAAGGGCUGUCCCUAGUACGAGAGGACCGGGACGGACGAACCUCUGGUGUGCCAGUUGUUCUGCCAAGGGCAUGGCUGGUUGGCUACGUUCGGGAGGGAUAACCGCUGAAAGCAUCUAAGCGGGAAGCCUGCUUCGAGAUGAGGACUCCCACCCACUUGAUGGGGUAAGGCUCCCAGUAGACGACUGGGUUGAUAGGCCGGAUAUGGAAGCACGGUAACGUGUGGAGUUGACCGGUACUAAUAGGCCGAGGGCUUGUCCUC
rnacentral:rRNA from 1 species